rnacentral:rRNA from 1 species
GUUGGCUUGGAAGCAGCCAUUCAUUUAAAGAGUGCGUAACAGCUCACUAGUCGAGUGCUUUGGCGUGGAUAAUAAUCGGGCAUAAGCUAUUUACCGAAGCUGUGGGAUGUAUAUACAUCGGUAGGGGAGCAUUCUAGCGGCGCUGAAGGUAGGAGGACAACUUCUGCUGGAGCUUCUAGAAAAGCAAAUGUAGGUAUAAGUAACGAUAAAGGAGGUGAGAAACCUCCUCGCCGAAAGACUAAGGGUUCCUGAUCAACGCUAAUCGGAUCAGGGUUAGUCGGGGCCUAAGGGGAAGCCGAACGGCGCACCCGAUGGAAGAACCGGUUAAUAUUCCGGUACUAAUUAUGUGAGCGAUGUGGAGACGGAGAUGUGACGGUCCUGCCAGCUGACGGAAUAGCUGGUUGAAGGGUGUAGGCGUCGAUCGGGGUAGGCAAAUCCGCCCUGAGAGCUGAACCUGACAGUACACUGAGUGCUUGCACGAGGUGAUAUGGACAAAGUAACGGAGCUUCCUAGAAAAUCCGCUAAGCAUAUUGCAUGAUUACCCGUACCAUAAACCGACACAGGUGGUUGGGUUGAGUAUACUAAGGCGCUCGAGUGAUUCGCGGUUAAGGAACUAGGCAAAAUAGUCCUGUAACUUCGGAAUAAAGGACGCUCACUUAACAGGUGAGCCGCAGAGAAUAGGCCCAGGCGACUGUUUAACAAAAACACAUGGCUAUGCAAAAUCGAAAGAUACAGUAUAUAGCCUGACACCUGCCCGGUGCUGGAAGGUUAAGAGGAGAUGUCAUCGCAAGAGAAGCAUUGAAUUGAAGCCCCAGUAAACGGCGGCCGUAACUAUAACGGUCCUAAGGUAGCGAAAUUCCUUGUCGGGUAAGUUCCGACCUGCACGAAUGGUGUAACGAUCUGGGCACUGUCUCAGCCGCGAGCUCGGUGAAAUUGUAGUAUCGGUGAAGAUGCCGAUUACCCGCAACGGGACGAAAAGACCCCGUGAACCUUUACUAUAGCUUUGCAUUGGAUUUGGGUAACAAAUGUGUAGGAUAGGCCGGAGGCUGAGAAGUGGGCACGCCAGUGCUUGUGGAGCCGCCGUUGAAAUACGGCCCUUUUGUUAUUUGGGUUCUAACUCGCAGGAGCGAGGACAUUGCAUGGUGGGUAGUUUGACUGGGGUGGUCGCCUCCAAAAGCGUAACGGAGGCUUCUAAAGGUUCCCUCAGCACGCUUGGUAACCGUGCGUAGAGUGCAAUGGCAUAAGGGAGCUUGACUGAGAGACUCACAAGUCGAUCAGGUACGAAAGUAGAGCAUAGUGAUCCGGUGGUUCCGUAUGGAAGGGCCAUCGCUCAAAGGAUAAAAGGUACUCCGGGGAUAACAGGCUGAUCGCUCCCAAGAGCUCAUAUCGACGGAGCGGUUUGGCACCUCGAUGUCGGCUCGUCACAUCCUGGGGCUGGAGAAGGUCCCAAGGGUUGGGCUGUUCGCCCAUUAAAGUGGCACGCGAGCUGGGUUCAGAACGUCGUGAGACAGUUCGGUCUCUAUCUAUUGCGGGCGUUAGAUAUUUGCGUGGGGUUGACUCUAGUACGAGAGGACCGAGUUGAACAAACCUCUGGUGUAUCAGUUGUACCGCCAGGUGCACCGCUGAGUAGCUAAGUUUGGAAGAGAUAAGCACUGAAAGCAUAUAAGUGCGAAACUCGCCACAAGAUGAGAUAUCUUUUAAGGGUCGUGGGAGAUGACCACGUUGAUAGGUUACAGGUGUAAAGGUGGUAACAUCAUAGCCGAGUAAUACUAAUUACCCGUAGAUUUAUAGCC